rnacentral:rRNA from 1 species
GAGUUUGAUCAUGGCUCAGGAUGAACGCUGGCGGCGUGCGUAACACAUGCAAGUUGGACGACGGUGCCAUGAAGUGGUAACACGGAAUGGUAUACGGAGUAGCGGACGGGUGAGUAAAGCAUGAGGAGCUGUCCUGUUGAGGGGGAUAACGUUCGGAAACGGACCCUAAUACCCCAUAGGCCGAGAGGUUAAAGGCAGAGAUGCGCGACAGGAGGUACUCGUGUCCUAUCAGCUGGUUGGUGAGGUAACGGCUCACCAAGGCAACGACGGGUAGCCGGCCUGAGAGGGUGACCGGCCACACUGGAACUGAGACACGGUCCAGACUCCUACGGGAGGCAGCAGUGGGGAAUAUUGGGCAAUGGGAGAAAUCCUGACCCAGCGACGCCGCGUGAACGAAGACGGCCUUCGGGUUGUAAAGUUCUUUUAUGUGGGAAGAAGGAAGUGACGUACCACAUGAAUAAGCCCCGCA